rnacentral:rRNA from 1 species
UACGUAGGAGACGAGCGUUGUCCGGAGUUACUGGGCGUAAAGGGCGCGUAGGCGGUGUGUCAGGUCAGGCGUGAAAGCCCCGGGCUCAACCUGGGAACCGCGCUUGAGACUGGCACGCUAGAGUUCGGGAGAGGAUGGUGGAAUUCCCAGUGUAGAGGUGAAAUUCGUAGAUAUUGGGAAGAACACCGAUGGCGAAGGCAGCCAUCUGGACCGACACUGACGCUGAGGCGCGAAAGCGUGGGGAGCAAACAGG